CAGUGUGAUUUCACUUAAGAGUCUUGUUUUCACCCUGGGCUGUUUUUAUGCCCCUGUAGUAAUUUGCACAGCAGAUAGAGACAUUUAUUAGAGUAUGGCCGCAGACGUGGAUAAAACUACUGCUGGACACCCAACGGCUGAUCAUGAUGAAGAUCGCGCCACUCCAUCCAGCAGACGCGCCCGCUCACGUUUCAAGCAGCUCUUCAGCUUAUUCAUAAUCGCUGCUGUUCCUUUCAUCGGCUUUUGCAUUAAAUAUUAUCAGGACAUCCAGCUCAUCAAACGACAUGAAGAAGGAUUGAAGGCGUUAGGAGCAGAUGGACUCUUCUUUUUCUCAUCCCUGGAUACUGAUCAUGACCUUUAUCUCAGUCCAGAGGAAUUCAAACCUAUUGCAGAAAAACUCACAGGUGUGGAACCUCCUCCAGAGUUUGAAGAGGAGAUACCACAUGACCCAAAUGGAGAGGCGCUGACCAUGCAUGCUAAAAUGCAGCCAUUACUACUGGAAAGCAUGACUAAGAGCAAAGAUGGCUUUCUAGGGGUUUCACACAGCUCUCUUAGUGGGCUGCGGUCUUGGAAACGUCCAGCUGUUCCUUCAUCCACGUUUUAUGCCAGUCGGUUCAAGGUCUUCUUGCCACCCAGUGGUAAAUCUGCCCUGGGUGACACUUGGUGGAUUGUUCCCAGCGAAUUGAACAUUUUCACUGGCUACCUUCCCAAUAACCGUUAUCAUCCUCCCACUCCGCGAGGCAAAGAGGUGCUGAUCCACUCUCUGCUGAGCAUGUUCCACCCGCGGCCCUUUGUGAAAUCCCGCUUUGCUCCACAGGGAGCUGUGGCUUGUAUACGGGCUGCUAGUGACUUUUAUUAUGACAUUGUUUUCAGAAUCCAUGCAGAGUUCCAGCUAAAUGAUGUUCCCAACUUUCCAUUCUGGUUCACUCCUGGGCAGUUUGCUGGUAACAUCAUCCUCUCCAAAGAUGCUUCUCACAUCCGAGACUUUCAUCUUUACGUCCCAAAUGACAAAACUCUGAAUGUGGACAUGGAGUGGUUGUAUGGCUCUAGCGAGAGCAGUAACAUGGAGGUGGAUAUUGGAUACCUACCUCAGAUGGAGCUCAGGGCAGCAGGACCCUCCACUCCCUCAGUGAUCUAUGAUGAGCUAGGGAACAUGAUUGACAGCCGAGGGGAGGGAGGUGAGCCCAUUCAGUUUGUGUUCGAGGAGAUUGUCUGGAGUGCAGAGCUGAGCAGAGAUGAAGCAUCAAGAUGCUUGGAGGUCACAAUGUACCCAUUUAAAAAGGUGCCAUAUUUACCAUUCAGUGAGGCCUUUAGCAGAGCUGAUGCUGAGAAAAAGCUGAUUCACUCCAUUCUGCUCUGGGGAUCCCUGGAUGACCAGUCAUGCUGAGGUUCAGGGCGGACUCUUCGGGAGACAGUCCUCGAGAGUUCGCCCGUUCUGGCCUUACUCAACCAGAGCUUCAUCAGCAGCUGGUCUCUAGUCAAAGACCUGGAGGAUCUGCAGGGUGAUAAAAAGAAUCUGGAUUUGAGUGAAAAGGCUCGUUUGCAUUUGGAAAUGUAUACUUUUCCAGUGGAGAUGAUGGUGGCGCUGCCCAACGGCACUGUGGUCCAUCACAUCAAUGCUAAUAAUUUCCUGGACCAGACAUCCAUGAAACCUGAGGAAGAGGGGCCAGCUCUCAGUUUCUCAGCAGGUUUUGAAGAUCCCUCAACCUCCACAUACAUCCGCUUCCUGCAGGAAGGACUUGAAAAGGCCAGACCUUACCUGCAAUCAUAAAACUAAUUUAAAGAUCAGAUUUCUGUCUCCGGAAAAAUCAGUGCACCUCAGAGAGAACUGAAGGGAGCGUAUGAGGGAAAAGAAAGGAAGAGCUGAUAUCAGCUCUACUCCCCCAUGUCUGCUUUGAGGAAAGAUGGUUCUGUAGGAGACAGAAUGAUCCUGGCUGUGGCUUCCACGAUUAGGCAGUUUGUGAUGGUCUUGUCUGAAAGCCCAAUCAGGGUGAGGCCAGGCCUGAUGUUGUUGUUUAAGUCUGGAAGCAACGCCUGCUUUUCUGUCUCAACAGAAUACUGGCACUGUGCUAAAAUACACACAAAGCACAGCUUUGGAUCUCUGCUAAACCACACAGCUGCAGGAAAGCUGCCAUGGGCUCUAAUAUAUCUGCUGAAAUCCACUUUUGUCUAAAGGUGGAGAUGCAUAAUGGCUAGUUAGGAACAUCACAAUUUUUUUAUUUU